rnacentral:rRNA from 1 species
CCUAACACAUGCAAGUCGAACGGUAACAGGAAACAGCUUGCUGUUUCGCUGACGAGUGGCGGACGGGUGAGUAAUGUCUGGGAAACUGCCUGAUGGAGGGGGAUAACUACUGGAAACGGUAGCUAAUACCGCAUAACGUCGCAAGACCAAAGAGGGGGACCUUCGGGCCUCUUGCCAUCAGAUGUGCCCAGAUGGGAUUAGCUAGUAGGUGGGGUAACGGCUCACCUAGGCGACGAUCCCUAGCUGGUCUGAGAGGAUGACCAGCCACACUGGAACUGAGACACGGUCCAGACUCCUACGGGAGGCAGCAGUGGGGAAUAUUGCACAAUGGGCGCAAGCCUGAUGCAGCCAUGCCGCGUGUAUGA